GUGGUCCUGGUUGGCACAGGGAACAGCAUUGGCCUAAACCUGCAGGCACCAUUGCAAAGGGGAGUCGGUUCAGGUAAACCCGCUGGUGAAGCAUGAUUCCAGCGUGGGGACACAGAGGCUGACAUAUCUUGCUGUAGGUGAUUUAACGUUGGGCCUCAAUAUUUCACUACCCCUGUAAGAGUAUGACACAUCCACAUCCUUACCAGGGCCCGAGGGAGGGUGGACAGACUUAUCUAUCCCAUAGGUAUUGCUCGUGGCUGGGUAACUUGCUUAUGCCAACAAGAUUUUCAUAGACACGGCACAGGCAGAAGCCUGGAAUGUGUUGGCACUGCCAGGCCUGCCCUCUAAUGCUCUUGAUUUUUCCCACGAGACGAGCGUGCCCCAGGGAACUUUGACUCCAGCUGCAGGAUGAGAGGCGUGUGGAGCACGCAGGGUUCCAACCCUCAGCCUGGAGUCAAGCCCAGACUAGAUCAGCCUAAGCCCAGCCAAGC
rnacentral:lncRNA from 10 species